GUUUUUGUAUUCUGUCUGCUUUCUAUCACCUCAUUAGUUUCAUGUUUUGCAGUCAAAAAUCAGCUGUCUUCCCCUUGCAUUUGUACACCCAUGGAGGGAGGGAAUAACUUAGAGAAUUUGUCCAACAGUCUAAGAUUUCAUCUUAUGUGAAGCAAUGAAGUUGUGUGAUUCCUUUAAAAGCCUCACUUAGUUUUAUCUUGCUCAUUUCAUUUCUUCUAAUUCCUCUCUGUCAGUUUUAUUCCUCUGUGAGCAGCUUCUGAAUAUAUUUCUUUAUAAAUCUGAUAGACAUUUCUUUCUUUUAUUUAAAGUAUCGGGAACUGGAAUAUCACUGUCCUAUACCGCUGUGGUAUGCUGUAUUUAAACAAACUUCAGAAACAGACACAAGCAAAUGUGCUCUUAUCAUUAAAUAGUAUUUAGAGAUACGUUUAUCUUAUGCACAUGAUUAAAAUUGUGCAUGUGCAUAAGUGCUUUGUUGGAUCAAAGCCCUUGUUCCUUUGAUACGAAGGCGAAAGGUCGUUAAUGAAAAAUUGUGCUGUAUUCUUAACAUCUACCCUUCCCUAAAGGCUGGGAAUAAGUGUUUCACUUUUGGCAAAGUCUUUCCAAGGAAAUAUUAGGUAAAUUGUUAAUAUUUUUGGAAGCUCAAUGUCAGGUUUAAAGUACUGGUGAGAAGUUGGAGUGAAGCCUUUAAUAGUUCUUCCAGAUUUGUCAUGCUAUGAGUAAUCUCCACUUUCAUGGGGUAAGAAAGACUUCCUUAGAAAUUACACAGUUGCUCAGAGGAUGUUUUCCUUUGACUUAUUAUAAUUGUCCCCGUGGAAACAGCUUAUUGUGUCUGUCAGCUUGGAAUGUUUUAUGGCAGCAAGCACUCAGCAGCAGACGUAUGCUGAUGGCUGGAAAGCCAUGUAGCAUAGGAAGACCGACCCUUCCAGAACAUCACUUGAACAAUGUAUGUGUACCGUGUGUUUUCCAAAUACCUGCUGGCAACACAUUUGAAACCUGUCACUUAGGUACUUAG
rnacentral:lncRNA from 1 species